rnacentral:lncRNA from 1 species
UGUCCCUUUAAUAAUGCUUAGCAACUACGCCUUUCUCUCAGUACUUUUCCAUCUACUUACUUCAUCGUCACAAGGUUAGUAUGAUAAACUGUAGCAUUUUGAAGGUUGCUGACUUGCACAUCAUCAUUUUCUAAGGAGUCUUUGUUCUACAACUCGUGACAUCUCGUACACCUGCACAAGCAUCAUCAAAUGAACUCGCUUGACCUUACUGGUUUAAAUGAUCUAUGCUAAACAAAACAACAUAAAAAAAAAAUAAUUUCCUUUACAUUUCCCUCCUUUUGAUCCUAAAGGAUCAACUUUUGAUUAUUGUAUUUACAUUUCAGCAUUUCAAAACAUUCCUAAAAAUUCCAAGGCAACACCCGUCUUCAGUUUAAGUUGCCUCUUCAUGGACGGAACAUUUUAGUCAUGCGGCACUGUUUACUUAUACAUUAUUUUCCAUUUCUGACUCUUCACUGGAACUUUCAUCAUGUAGUUUUUCUGCUUCUUCUUGAUUCUUUAUUGCUUCAUACGUCAACAAGGCUACUCGAUCGCCCAACAUCCUGUUAAUGAGUUUUAUCAACAGGGCACGUAUGCACGGAAUACAACAGCAUCCACAUAGAAUCAUUAUUGCCGCGAAAACAGCUAUUGACAUCAAAACAGACGCCACUAGGGUCUUGUACUUUCCAAAAAUGUCAAAGGUGUGUUCAAUGGUCAUUGCCAGCCUGCCACCAUCAACUGGGAGACAGCGACGGUCGGCGACGACCCUCAUGACGUGGCUUACAGAGAUUUCCUCAUCCGUCUGGUCACCAAGUGGGAUGCGUGGAUCCACGUCGCUCUCUCGGCCACCUUUAUGGCUGUCUGUGUCACCAGCAGGAUCUGGAAGGGACCUUGCCACCGUUUCUGGUUCCACCGUGUUCUGCGGAAAUCCUUCACCACCACGUAGUCUCCUGGUUUCAGGUUAUGGAGUUGCUCUUCUGCUGGAGUCGGCAGAGCAGCUUUCACUUGUCCUCGAAUGUCUGAAAGAGAUUUAGACAGAUUCCUGCAAUAGGUUAAUACUGAGUUUUCACAGUGAGUUGUGUCUGGAAGCAUUGGGCCAGAUUCACGAAACGUUCUUACGAACAAAUUUGUUCUUAAGUCCCACUUACGAACAGUUUACGAAGAUUGUGGCAUUCACCAAUUUCUUCUUAUCCUGGAUUUAUGCGUAGGUAAGAACAAAUCCUACGAACAC